GACGAACGCUGGCGGCGUGCUUAACACAUGCAAGUCGAACGGAAAGGCCCUGCUUUUGUGGGGUGCUCGAGUGGCGAACGGGUGAGUAACCCGUGAGUAACCUGCCCUUGACUUUGGGAUAACUUCAGGAAACUGGGGCUAAUACCGGAUAGGAGCUCCUGCUGCAUGGUGGGGGUUGGAAAGUUUCGGCGGUUGGGGAUGGACUCGCGGCUUAUCAGCUUGUUGGUGGGGUAGUGGCUUACCAAGGCUUUGACGGGUAGCCGGCCUGAGAGGGUGACCGGCCACAUUGGGACUGAGAUACGGCCCAGACUCCUACGGGAGGCAGCAGUGGGGAAGAUUGCACAAUGGGCGGAAGCCUGAUGCAGCAACGCCGCGUGCGGGAUGACGGCCUUCGGGUUGUAAACCGCUUUCGCCUGUGACGAAGCGUGAGUGACGGUAAUGGGUAAAGAAGCACCGGCUAACUACGUG
rnacentral:rRNA from 1 species